UUGAAUGAACUUGGCAUGGUUGUUGCUGGUCCUCUCGGGGGCAUGUGCACACCUGUCAUCUUUAUCUUUCCACCUGUGCACAUUUUGUAGGCCAAAAAAUUUCCCGAGGCAACUCGGUUUGGGGGACUGCUGUGCAUCACUGCCGGCUUCCCCUGGAUUUUUGGGCCUAUGUUUUCACAUACACCAUAAGAAUGUAAUAGAAUGUUAUAUUGGGCUUUGUUGCCUAUAAACUAUAUA
rnacentral:misc_RNA from 1 species